rnacentral:rRNA from 1 species
AUUGAACGCUGGCGGCAGGCCUAACACAUGCAAGUCGAACGGUAGCACAGAGGAGCUUGCUCCUUGGGUGACGAGUGGCGGACGGGUGAGUAAUGUCUGGGAAACUGCCCGAUGGAGGGGGAUAACUACUGGAAACGGUAGCUAAUACCGCAUAACGUCGCAAGACCAAAGAGGGGGACCUUCGGGCCUCUUGCCAUCGGAUGUGCCCAGAUGGGAUUAGCUAGUAGGUGGGGUAACGGCUCACCUAGGCGACGAUCCCUAGCUGGUCUGAGAGGAUGACCAGCCACACUGGAACUGAGACACGGUCCAGACUCCUACGGGAGGCAGCAGUGGGGAAUAUUGCACAAUGGGCGCAAGCCUGAUGCAGCCAUGCCGCGUGUAUGAAGAAGGCCUUCGGGUUGUAAAGUACUUUCAGCGAGGAGGAAGGCGUUGUGGUUAAUAACCGCAACGAUUGACGUUACUCGCAGAAGAAGCGCCGGCUAACUCCGUGCCAGCCGCCGCGGUAAAAGGG